AUUGAACGCUGGCGGCAGGCCUAACACAUGCAAGUCGAGCGAGCGGCGGACGGGUGAGUACUGUCUGGGAAACUGCCUGAUGGUGGGGGAUAACUACUGGAAACGGUGGCUAAUACCGCAUACCAUCAGAUGUGCCCAGAUGGGAUUAGCUAGUAGGUGGGGUAAUGGCUCACCUAGGUGACGAUCCCUAGCUGGUCUGAGAGGAUGACCAGCCACACGGGAACUGAGACACGGUCCAAACGCCGACGGGAGGCAGCAGUGGGGAAUAUUGCACAAUGGGCGCAAGCCUGAUGCAGCCAUGCCGAGUGAGUGAAGAAGGCCUUCGGGUUGUAAAGCACUGUCAGCGGGGAGGCGUUACCCGAAGAAGAAGCACCGGCUAACUCCGUGCCAGCAGCCGCGGUAAUAC
rnacentral:rRNA from 1 species